rnacentral:rRNA from 1 species
CAGUAGCCGCGGUAAUACGUAGGUGGCAAGCGUUGUCCGGAAUUAUUGGGCGUAAAGGGCUCGCAGGCGGUUUCUUAAGUCUGAUGUGAAAGCCCCCGGCUCAACCGGGGAGGGUCAUUGGAAACUGGGAAACUUGAGUGCAGAAGAGGAGAGUGGAAUUCCACGUGUAGCGGUGAAAUGCGUAGAUAUAUGGAGGAACACCGGUGGCGAAAGCGGCUCUCUGGCUCGUAACUGACGCUGAGGCUCGAAAGCGUGGGGAGCAAACAGGAUUAGAUACCCGAGUAGUCCCUGUCUCUUAUAA